UGAUAUAGAUAUCAUUGUGUUAUUAGUACGUUCUUCUAUCAACUAUUAAAAUAGAGAGAGAGAGAAAUCUGGCUUCUUAAGUAUAGAAUUACUAGAAUGUUGAUUUUUGCAUUAGCUGAUCUUGGAUUUGAAAUAUUUUAAUAUAGAUCUCUUUUCUUUUAGAUUUAUAGUUUAUGCUUUUAAAAGAAUUCAAGAAUAAUUAUCAAUCUUGAAGAAUAUUUGAUUCUCAAAUGUUCUAGUAUGGAUAAAGUGGAGUAAUUUAUGAUCUUGUGACAUAUUAACAUUAGUUGAUGCAAAAAAAUAAUAAUGUUCCAAAUUAUGGAUAUGAUUCAGAAUUAGGAGAAUUGAAACUUUUUAGUUGUCUUGUGAUUGAUCCCUCAUGGUGGCCGGAAGCUGUGGCUGGAGCUCCAGCCACCGGAAUAUGCUGGUUUCAUAGUUUAAGGGGUCACAAUCUCUGUUUUUGUUAGUUUUGGCGUCGCCAACCAUCGGUUGCUUGUUGGCUAGCCAUGGGCCCUUGACCCUAGGCAUCACCUCUAGCCACCCUCUUCCUUCCUCUUUCUUGAUUAUAGAAAGAAACUUUUUUCUCUCUCUUAUUUCUCUCUCUUGACUCAUGGCUAGAUAUGUUGAUUGAUCUAAGUUGACCCGUGCCAUUGGCAACCAAACCCCGGCUCUUGAUUUAAUCUGAACUGAGAUUCUCUCUUCUCUUUUCUUUCUUUUUCUCUCUUAUUUUUCUAUUUUUACUGGACUUU
rnacentral:lncRNA from 1 species